ACAAUAACUGGGUGGAAAAGGGAAAACCAAACAGCCAGGGGGUUGAGGGCUGGUGAUGGUCAAGGAUUCCACCUCUGCCCCACACCUCUUCCAUUCCCCUGGACUCUUCUGCAGCCCAAGUCCAUGCCAAAGCACACCGCGUUGAGACCACUGUCUUUCC